GAUGAAGAACGUAGCGAAAUGCGAUAAGUAAUGUGAAUUGCAGAAUUCAGUGAAUCAUCGAAUCUUUGAACGCACAUUGCGCCCACCAGUAUUCUGGUGGGCAUGCCUGUUCGAGCGUCAUUUCAACCCUUAAGCCCUAGUUGCUUAGCGUUGGGAGCCUACCGGAGACCUCUCCCGUAGCUCCCCAAAGUCAGUGGCGGAGCCGGUUUAACACUCCAGACGUAGUAGCUCAUACACAUCGCCUGUAGCCUAAUCCCGGUCCCCUGCCGUAAAACAUACCCAUAUUGUAUAGGUUGACCUCGGAUCAGGUAGGAAUACCCGCUGAACUUAAGCAUAUCAAUAAGCGGAGGA
rnacentral:misc_RNA from 1 species